rnacentral:rRNA from 1 species
GUCUGCUUGGAACAAAAAGCAGUUUGGCCUGCCCACUGACAUUUUUUAAAGGCCGCGGUACCCUGACCGUGCGAAGGUAGCAUAAUAAUUAGUCUUUUAAUUGAAGACUGGAAUGAACGGUCGGACAAAAAGCACCCUGUCUCAGUUUCAAGAAUCGAAAUUAACUUUUAAGUGAAAAGGCUUAAAUAUUCUAAAAGGACGAUAAGACCCUAUAAAACUUAAUACAAAAACUAUUAAGUUCCUAUUUAUUUAUUUAAAGUCACUCAAAAGUUUUUGUAUUACGUUGGGGAGACGAGAGUAUAACAGAUAACUGCUCUUUUUUAAAAACAACUAUCAUUGCCUUCGAUGACCCUUUUAUUAAGAUUUCAAGAUAAAGUUACUUUAGGGAUAACAGCGUUAUUUUUUUUGAGAGUCCAUAUCGACAAAAAAGUUUGCGACCUCGAUGUUGAAUUAAAAUAACCCCAUAGUGCAGAAAUUAUGGAGGUAGGUCUGUUCGACCUUUAAAAUUUUACAUGAUUUGAGUUCAGACCGGCGUGAG